GUGGGGAAUAUUGGACAAUGGGCGAAAGCCUGAUCCAGCCAUGCCGCGUGUGUGAAGAAGGUCUUCGGAUUGUAAAGCACUUUAAGUUGGGAGGAAGGGCAGUAAGUUAAUACCUUGCUGUUUUGACGUUACCGACAGAAUAAGCACCGGCUAACUUCGAGCCAGCAGCCGCGGUAAUACGAAGGGUGCAAGCGUUAAUCGGAAUUACUGGGCGUAAAGCGCGCGUAGGUGGUUCAGCAAGUUGAAGGUGAAAUCCCCGGGCUCAACCUGGGAACUGCCUCCAAAACUACUGAGCUAGAGUACGGUAGAGGGUAGUGGAAUUUCCUGUGUAGCGGUGAAAUGCGUAGAUAUAGGAAGGAACACCAGUGGCGAAGGCGACUACCUGGACUGAUACUGACACUGAGGUGCGAAAGCGUGGGGAGCAAACAGGAUUAGAAACCCGUGUAGUCC
rnacentral:rRNA from 1 species